AUUGAACGCUGGCGGCAGGCCUAACACAUGCAAGUCGAACGAGUGGCGGACGGGUGAGUAAUGUCUGGGAAACUGCCUGAUGGAGGGGGAUAACUACUUGAAACGGUAGCUAAUACCGCAUACCAUCGGAUGUGCCCAGAUGGGAUUAGCUAGUUGGUGGGGUAACGGCUCACCAAGGCGACGCUCCCUAGCUGGUCUGAGAGGAUGACCAGCCACACUGGAACGGAGACACGGCCCAGACUCCUACGGGAGGCAGCAGUGGGGAAUAUUGCACAAUGGGCGAAAGCCUGAUGCAGCCAUGCCGAGUGUAUGAAGAAGGCCUUCGGGUUGUAAAGUACUUUCAGUGGGGAGGCGUUACCCGCAGAAGAAGCACCGGCUAACUCCGUGCCAGAAGCCGCGGUAAUAC
rnacentral:rRNA from 1 species